AUGAUUCUCUUGGCCUGGAACUGUUGAGGAUUGGGGUUGGACUCGACAGUUGGCGAAUUAAGAGACCUGAUACGGUCCUACAACCCGGAGGUGGUUUUUCUUUGUGAAACGAAGAAAUCGGCGAGAGCAAUGGAGCGGCUUAAGUGGAGUUUGGGCUUUAAUAGUGGUGUAGCAGUAGACUGUCAAGGGAGGAGUGGUGGUCUGGCUCUAUGG
rnacentral:rRNA from 1 species